rnacentral:rRNA from 1 species
UCGAGAAUUUUUCUCAAUGGGCGAAAGCCUGAAGGAGCGACGCCGCGUGGGGGAUGAAUGGCUUCGGCCCGUAAACCCCUGUCAUUUGCGAACAAACCUUACCGGUUAACAACCGGUGAGCUGAUUGUAGCGAAAGAGGAAGGGACGGCUAACUCUGUGCCAGCAGCCGCGGUAAUACAGAGGUCCCAAGCGUUGUUCGGAUUCACUGGGCGUAAAGGGUGCGUAGGUGGUAAGGCAAGUCAGGUGUGAAAUCUCCGGGCUCAACCCGGAAAUGGCAUUCGAAACUACCUUGCUAGAGGGUUUGAGGGGGGACUGGAAUACUUGGUGUAGCAGUGAAAUGCGUAGAUAUCAAGUGGAACACCAGUGGCGAAGGCGAGUCCCUGGAAAACUCCUGACACUGAGGCACGAAAGCUAGGGGAGCAAACAG